UUUAGGCAAACGCUGCAUUUAAUGUAGAGGAAAGUCCAUGCUCACUCAUUCUGAAAUGAAUGAAAGUGUUCGUGCUAAGGGAAAAAAUAACCUUAGGUAGUACGUAAGUAUUAACGGCGAUGAGGUAGUCAAGAACUGACUAUAUUAGUCAUAAAGUGCCAUAGAGACGAGAUAGUUAGGGAUAACUAUUGUGGAACGAGGUAAACCCCACGAGUGAGAAACCCAAAAUUGGUAGGGGAGCUCUUACGAAUGAAUAACAAAGGAGUAAGGGAAAGAGAAAUCUUUAGAUAAAUGUUUGCCACCUAUUUAUAGGUACAGAACAUGGCUUAUU
rnacentral:RNase_P_RNA from 1 species